rnacentral:tRNA from 1 species
GGUAGGAUGGCUGAGUAUUAAGCGGUGGAUUGUAGCCCCACAUACAGAGGUUUGAGUCCUCUUCCUGCCA